rnacentral:rRNA from 1 species
UACAGAGGUCUCGAGCGUUGUUUCGGAUUCAUUGGGCGUAAAGGGUGCGUAGGCGGCGCGGUAAGUCGGGGUGUGAAAUCUCGGAGCUUAACUCCGAAACUGCAUUCGAUACUGCCGUGCUUGAGGACUGGAGAGGAGACUGGAAUUUACGGUGUAGCGGUGAAAUGCGUAGAUAUCGUAAGGAAGACCAGUGGGCGAAGGCGGGUCUCUUCGGACAG